AAAGGUUGCCGGUGGAGCGGGGAUGCUGCGGCGGAUCUCUUCUCCGCUUGCACAGCGCGGUGGCGGCGGCGAGGCUGACGUCGCGGCUGAGCUUUGACGUCUAGGAGUUGCCGCGCGCUCUCACAGGUAUCCUCUGCCGCACCUAUCCCGGACUCUAAUGAUGUGUGUUCUAUCACUGUUUCGACUGCUCUAUGAAAAUGAUGGUACGUGAAACAUUUUGCUUCACCUCUUUGCUGUUCCUAAAGAGGUUGGUCUAUCAGCGCCAAGGUGAUAGCUGAAGCUGAUUAACGUGGAAACAUUUUUGGACAUGGAAGAAUUUUGUGGUAGCUCUCCGCUGCUGAUUGUGUAAGCAUAAAAACAUUUUUACAAACCUUUGAAAACAUAAAAACAUCAAAUGUUACCUAAUUCUUCAGUUCGGGUGAUCAAACAGAAAAAAGAAUUUAUGUCUUACAGGCAUGCAUGCCACCAGCGCGCUUAUUAUAUGGCAUUUUUUCGUUGCAUAUA